GGCGCUAUAGCUAAGUGGUUACAGCGACAGAUUAGAAUUUGAUCCGGGUCACGUGAUUUUCGGGUCACGUGAUUCCACUUCAACGACUAUCUGUUCCUCUUUGAGGGCGCAGGUUCGAAUCCUGCUGGCGUCG